UGGGGAAUAUUGCACAAUGGGGGAAACCCUGAUGCAGCAACGCCGCGUGAGUGAUGACGGCCUUCGGGUUGUAAAGCUCUGUCUUCAGGGACGAUAAUGACGGUACCUGAGGAGGAAGCCACGGCUAACUACGUGCCAGCAGCCGCGGUAAUACGUAGGUGGCAAGCGUUGUCCGGAUUUACUGGGCGUAAAGGGAGCGUAGGCGGACUUUUAAGUGAGAUGUGAAAUACCCGGGCUCAACCUGGGUGCUGCAUUUCAAACUGGAAGUCUAGAGUGCAGGAGAGGAGAGUGGAAUUCCUAGUGUAGCGGUGAGAUGCGUAGAGAUUAGGAAGAACACCAGUGGCGAAGGCGACUCUCUGGACUGUAACUGACGCUGAGGCUCGAAAGCGUGGGGAGCAAACA
rnacentral:rRNA from 1 species